UUUUAUUUUAAUUUUAAAAGAAAAAGCCAUUAGGCCUUAUAAUUUGGGCCAGACCCAUAAGUUAAGGGUGCCUUAGCCUUAGAAGGGAACUUUCAGAAAAUCAGAUUUCAUUAGCCAAACCCUCUUCUCUCUCUAAAACUCAUAUUUCUUAUUUUCUCUGCCUUCUCUGUAACCUUGCUCCACCUUCUCUGUAUCCCUUUCUCAAAUUUUUCACCGUCGCUUUUUCAAAUAGGUGGUGCCCUUACGUUCCCGGAGUCGAGGGUUUCCAAUCCUUCCGAUUAGUUUCGCAUCUCUCAGUUAAUAAGGUAAUUUUCCCAUUCUCCGUACCCUAGGGUUUUACUCAUUUUCCUUAUCCUUUCAAGCUCUAAGGGCUUUACUCUACACCAUUUUGAUGGCUUAUAGGUACUGUUGAGCUUGCCUCUGUGCAGAGGUACUGUUAGGACAUUUUCUAGGAGCUAUGCUGUGUGAGCUAAAGGGGAGCUAGAUUUUCUUAUUUAAAAUUUGUAGAAGUAUAUAGGUAUGAACAGUGCUUUGUACUGUGGUACUUUUUGAGUGGUGUUCUAGACGUAUUAAUUGUUGUUGAGUAUUAUUGUAUCUGGCGUGAGUAUGUGUUGGUGAUUUUCAUAUGCAUUGUUUGCCAUAUUUUCUGGUACAGCUGUUGUUGGGUUAAAAUUUAGUUUUCAGUUUUAACCCUAGGAUACAUGACGGGUUGAUUUAAGAAUCUUGUUAGGGUUUUGUUUUACAUGAUAAAGGGGUUCCUUUAGUGUUUGUAGGGGGUGUGAGGAAGUGGUCUGCGACGUGAAAAAAAAAAAAAAAGCUAGGGGGAGGGAUGCGAAGGGUUGUGAGGGGGGGAAGGUUUUUUUUUUGGUAAGAGAAAAAAAAUAUGGUUUCAUGAUUAAAUUGUAGAAUUAUGAGAAAGAGUGAUAAGAAGGUAGAAAAGAGUGAAGGUAUUUUUAAAAGCAAAGGAAAAAAUGGACAAUGAGUGAGACAAUGAAGUUGAUGGGUUGGGUUUCAUAAUGAAAGUGAACAAAAUGGUAGCAGUGGGAUUAUUUGGGUUUUAAGUUUGGGAGGAAGAUGAGAUUUUGUCAUAUAAGAGAAUUGGAAAAAAAAUGGUGGUGGCUAAGGAGGCCGCGUGAGUGGGUUGGUUCCAUUGUGAAUGGUUGUAUGGGUACUACUAUGCGGAAAGAGAAAUGGCUGGGGAGAGUAGAAAACAGUACGCCUUAGAAGUGAUGAACAUAAGAAGGAACGAGUGUGAGGGUAUAUUACUUUAUGGAGGAGAGAAGUUUGUGUUUAUGAAUAGCAUGGGAUAAAAUGGAUAAUGAUAUUUUAAUAACUCUUUUUAACAAUUUUUUUACAACACGACACGUGUCAUCAUUUUAUUGGUCUGUUUGAAUUUAUGUUUAAAAAAAUAUUUGAAGCAGACCAAUCAUAGACUGCCACGUAUACGUUAUCAAAAAAUUGUCAAAAAAGAGUUGUUAAAGAGACUUUUUUCGGAUAAAAUAGUAAGGAUAGGAAAUUGAUGAGUGAGUGAAUCCACGGGUUUUAUGAAAGAAAAAUGGGAAGUAAAGAGAAUGGGCUGCAUGACCGUGAGAGAGAAGGAGGAAUAGAUUAAGUUCAUGAGCAUUGAUUAGGGUGGGUCCAUGGUGGUAGGUAAGGGUGAUCUUUUCACUUUAGUUGAAGGAAGUGUAUAUUUCCAUUGUUACAUGAGGGACUUUCAUUUUUAUCUCAUUUGGGGUUGUAGUUGUAUCUUUUCUUUUCUUUAAAUUUUGGUUCAUUAGAAAAUACUUCCCAUAGAAUCUUUUAAUCAAGUAAAUGAAUAUAAAAUAUAUAAUAUAAUAUAGUUACAUAUAAAAAAAUUAGUAGAAGUAGUUACGAUAUUAAAUUCUAUUAACAUAUUAUAGUUUUAUAUAUAUACUUAAUAUUAAAUUCUAUUAAUAUAAUAUAGUUUUAUAUAUAUAAUUAGUAAGUACG
rnacentral:lncRNA from 1 species